rnacentral:tRNA from 2 species
GACAACGUGUCCGAGUGGUUAUGGAGACAGACUUGAAAUCUGUUGGCUUCGGCCGCGUAGGUUCGAACCCUGCCGUUGUCG